rnacentral:rRNA from 1 species
GAUGAACGCUGGCGGCGUGCUUAACACAUUCAAGUCGAACGGAAAGGCCUCAGCUUGCUGGGGUACUCGAGUGGCGACCGGGUGAGUCACACGUUGGUGAUCUUCCCUGCACAUUGGGAUAAGCCCGGGAAACUGGGUCUAUUACCUAAUCUGACCCCUUCAUGGCUGGUGUUGUGGAAAGCUUCUGCGGUGUGGGAUGAGCCGGAGGCCUAUUAGCUUGUGGGUGGGGUAAUGGCCUACCAAGGCGGCGACGGGUCUCCGGCCUGAGAGGGUGUACGGACACAUUGGGACUGAGAUAGGGCCCAGACUCCUACGGGAGGCAGCAGUGGGGAAUAUUGCACAAUGGGCGCAAGCCUGAUGCAGCGACGCCGCGUGGGGGAUGAAGGCCUUCGGGUUGUAAACUCCUUUCGCUAUCGACGAAGCCACUUGUGGUGACGGUAGGUAGAUAAGAAGCACCGGCUGACUACGUGCCAGCAGCCGCCGUAA